GAUGAACGCUGGCGGCGUGCCUAAUACAUGCAAGUCGAGCGAACAGACGAGGAGCUUGCUCCUCUGACGUUAGCGGCGGACGGGUGAGUAACACGUGGAUAACCUACCUAUAAGACUGGGAUAACUUCGGGAAACCGGAGCUAAUACCGGAUAAUAUAUUGUACCGCAUGGUUCAAUAGUGAAAGACGGUUUUGCUGUCACUUAUAGAUGGAUCCGCGCCGCAUUAGCUAGUUGGUAAGGUAACGGCUUACCAAGGCAACGAUGCGUAGCCGACCUGAGAGGGUGAUCGGCCACACUGGAACUGAGACACGGUCCAGACUCCUACGGGAGGCAGCAGUAGGGAAUCUUCCGCAAUGGGCGAAAGCCUGACGGAGCAACGCCACGUGAGUGAUGAAGGUCUUCGGAUCGUAAAACUCUGUUAUUAGGGAAGAACAAAUGUGUAAGUAACUAUGCACGUCUUGACGGUACCUAAUCAGAAAGCCACGGCUAACUACGUG
rnacentral:rRNA from 1 species